rfam:Phaseolus vulgaris cultivar G19833 chromosome 11, whole genome shotgun sequence.
GGUUCAACGGGAUAUUGGUCCGGUUCAAUAAGAAAGCAAUGCUCAAAAGUGUUUUAGGGUCCUGUUUUUUCAUUGAGCCGUGCCAAUAUCACGAGCCACUGC